rnacentral:rRNA from 1 species
AGAGUUUGAUCCUGGCUCAGGGAUGAACGCUGGCGGCGCGCCUAACACAUGCAAGUCGAACGAGAAGCACCUCUUCGGAGGUGUGGAUAGUGGCGAACGGCUGAGUAACACGUGGGCAACCUGCCCCUCUCAUCGGGAUAGCCUCGGGAAACCGGGGAUAAUACCGGAUACUCCGACGCUUUCGCAUGGAAGCGUUGGGAAAGCUCUGGCGGAGAGGGAUGGGCCCGCGGCCUGUUAGCUAGUUGGCGGGGUAACGGCCCACCAAGGCUUCUAUGGGUAGCCGGGUUGAGAGACCGACCGGCCAGAUUGGGACUGAGACACGGCCCAGACUCCUACGGGAGGCAGCAGUGGGGAAUAUUGCACAAUGGGCGCAAGCCUGAUGCAGCGACGCCGCGUGAGGGAUGAAGGCCUUCGGGUUGUAAACCGCUUUCAGCAGGGACGAGGCGUUGUGUUGAGUGUACCUUUCGAAUAAGCACCGGCUAACUACGUGCCAGCAGCCGCGGUAAUACGGAGGGUGCAAGCGUUAAUCGGAAUUACUGGGCGUAAAGCGCACGCAGGCGGUUCGUCGCGUCCGGUGUGAAAGUCCAUCGCUAACGGUGGAUCCGCGCCGGGUACGGGCGGGCUUGAGUGCGGUAGGGGAGACUGGAAUUCCCGGUGUAACGGUGGAAUGUGUAGAUAUCGGGAAGAACACCAAUGGCGAAGGCAGGUCUCUGGGCCGUUACUGACGCUGAGGAGCGAAAGCGUGGGGAGCAAAUAGGAUUAGAUACCCUAGUAGUCCACGCCGUAAACGAUGAGUACUAAGUGUUGGGGUUUCCGCCCUUCAGUGCCGCAGCUAACGCAUUAAGCAUUCCGCCUGGGGAGUACGACCGCAAGGUUGAAACUCAAAGGAAUUGACGGGGGCCCGCACAAGCGGUGGAGCAUGUGGUUUAAUUCGAAGCAACGCGAAGAACCUUACCAGGUCUUGACAUACUCAUAAAUGUUCCAGAGAUGGAAAGAUAGCUAUAUGAGAUACAGGUGGUGCAUGGUUGUCGUCAGCUCGUGCUGGGAGAUGUUGGGUUAAGUCCCGCAACGAGCGCAACCCUUGUCGUUAGUUACCAUCAUUAAGUUGGGGACUCUAGCGAGACUGCCAGUGACAAGCUGGAGGAAGGCGGGGAUGACGUCAAAUCAUCAUGCCCCUUAUGACCUGGGCUACACACGUGCUACAAUGGAUGGUGCAGAGGGAAGCGAAGCCGCGAGGCGAAGCAAAACCCAUAAAACCAUUCUCAGUUCGGAUUGUAGUCUGCAACUCGACUACAUGAAGUUGGAAUCGCUAGUAAUCGCGAAUCAGCAUGUCGCGGUGAAUACGUUCUCGGGCCUUGUACACACCGCCCGUCAAG